rnacentral:rRNA from 1 species
GACGAACGCUGGCGGCGUGCUUAACACAUGCAAGUCGAACGGUAAGGCCCUUCGGGGUACACGAGUGGCGAACGGGUGAGUAACACGUGGGUGAUCUGCCCUGCACUUCGGGAUAAGCCUGGGAAACUGGGUCUAAUACCGGAUAGGACCACUGCCUGCAUGGGUGGUGGUGGAAAGCUUUUGCGGUGUGGGAUGGGCCCGCGGCCUAUCAGCUUGUUGGUGGGGUGAUGGCCUACCAAGGCGACGACGGGUAGCCGGCCUGAGAGGGUGACCGGCCACACUGGGACUGAGAUACGGCCCAGACUCCUACGGGAGGCAGCAGUGGGGAAUAUUGCACAAUGGGCGCAAGCCUGAUGCAGCGACGCCGCGUGAGGGAUGACGGCCUUCGGGUUGUAAACCUCUUUCAGCACCGACGAAGCGCAAGUGACGGUAGGUGCAGAAGAAGGACCGGCCAACUCUGUGCCAGCCGCCGCCGUAAGAC